rnacentral:rRNA from 1 species
UAACGGCGAGUGAAGCGGCAAAAGCUCAAAUUUGAAAUCUGACCUUUGGUCCGAGUUGUAAUUUGUAGAGGAUGUUUCGGGCAAGAUCCGGGCUUAAGUUCCUUGGAACAGGACGUCAUAGAGGGUGAGAAUCCCGUACGUGGUCCAGGGUCGCGCCCAUGUGAAACUCCUUCGACGAGUCGAGUUGUUUGGGAAUGCAGCUCAAAAUGGGUGGUAAAUUUCAUCUAAAGCUAAAUAUUGGCCAGAGACCGAUAGCGCACAAGUAGAGUGAUCGAAAGAUGAAAAGCACUUUGAAAAGAGAGUUAAACAGCAUGUGAAAUUGUUGAAAGGGAAGCGCUUGCGACCAGACUUGUUUGUAGGGUUCAGCCGUCGUUCUCGUCGGUGUAUUUCCCUAUCUACAGGCCAGCAUCAGUUCGGACGGAAGGUUAAAGGCCUUGGGAAUGUAGCAUCUUCCGGGAUGUCUUAUAGCCCUCGGUGUAAUGCUUCCUGCCCGGACUGAGGAACGCGCUUCGGCUCGGAUGCUGGCGUAAUGGUUCUAAGCGACCCGUCUUGAAACACGGACCAAGGAGUCUAACAUCUAUGCGAGUAUUUGGGUGUCAAACCCAUAUGCGCAAUGAAAGUGAACGGAGGUGGGAAUCUUCGGAUGCACCAUCGACCGAUCCUGAUGUCUUCGGAUGGAUUUGAGUAAGAGCAUAGCUGUUGGGACCCGAAAGAUGGUGAACUAUGCCUGAAUAGGGUGAAGCCAGAGGAAACUCUGGUGGAGGCUCGCAGCGGUUCUGACGUGCAAAUCGAUCGUCAAAUUUGGGCAUAGGGGCGAAAGACUAAUCGAACUAUCUGGUAGCUGG